rnacentral:rRNA from 1 species
GAUGAACGCUAGCGGCGGGCUUAAUACAUGCAAGUCAAGGGGUAGCAAUACACCGGCGUACGGGUGCGUAACGCGUAUGGAACCUGCCCUUAUCUGGGGGAUAACUCGGGGAAACUCGAGCUAAUACCACAUAAGAUAGUAGAAUGGCAUCAUUCAGCUAUUAAAGAUUUAUCGGAUAAGGAUGGCCAUGCGUAAGAUUAGAUAGUUGGUGGGGUAACGGCUCACCAAGUCUACGAUCUUUAGGGGCUCUGAGAGGAGAAUCCCCCACACUGGCACUGAGAUACGGGCCAGACUCCUACGGGAGGCAGCAGUAGGGAAUAUUGGGCAAUGGGCGGAAGCCUGACCCAGCCACGCCGCGUGCAGGAAGAAGGCCCUCUGGGUUGUAAACCGCUUUUGAUUGGGAAGAAAGCAUCUCAUGCGUGAGAUUUUGACGGUACCAAUCGAAUAAGCCACGGCUAACUACGUGCCAGCCGCCGCCGUAAUAC